rnacentral:rRNA from 1 species
UACAGAGGGGCAAGCGUUGUUCGGAAUUACUGGGCGUAAAGGGCGCGUAGGCGGCCUGUUAAGUCGGACGUGAAAUCCCCGGGCUCAACCCGGGAACUGCGUCCGAUACUGGCAGGCUUGAAUCCGGGAGAGGGAUGUGGAAUCCAGGUGUAGCGGUGAAAUGCGGUAGAUAUCUGGAGGAACACCGGUGGCGAAGGCGG